rnacentral:rRNA from 1 species
UACGGAGGGGGCUAGCGUUGUCCGGAAUCAUUGGGCGUAAAGCGCGUGUAGGCGGCCUUGUAAGUCCGUUCUGAAAGCCCGGGGCUCAACCCCGGGAGGCGGAUGGAUACUGCAAGGCUCGAGUCCGGAAGAGGCGAGUGGAAUUCCGGGUGUAGUGGUGAAAUGCGUAGAUAUCCGGAGGAACACCAGAGGCGAAGGCGACCUCCUGGGUCGUACCUGACGCUGAGAUGCGAAAGCUAGGGGAGCAAACGGG